rnacentral:rRNA from 1 species
UGCUUGUCUCAAAGAUUAAGCCAUGCAGUCUAUGCACAAGCCGAAUACGGUGAAGCCGCGAAUGGCUCAUUACAACAGCCACUGUUUACUUGAUUCUGAUUAUCCUACUGGAUAACUGUGGUAAUUCUAGAGCUAAUACAUGCAACCAAGCUCCGACCGUAAGGGACGAGCGCAUUUAUUAGAACAAAACCAAUCGGGCUUCGGCCUGAGGUUUGGUGAAUCUGAAUAACUGAGCUGAUCGCAUGGUCUUUGUACCGGCGACGCAUCUUUCAAGUGUCUGCCUUAUCAACUUUCGAUGGUAGUUUAUGUGCCUACCAGGGUUGUAACGGGUAACGGAGAAUAAGGGUUCGACUCCGGAGAGGGAGCCUGAAAAACGGCUACCACAUCCRAGGAAGGAGGCAGGCA